rnacentral:rRNA from 1 species
AUGAGUUCACCAGUGGAUAGUUUCUCGGCGCCGGGAGUGGAAAGCUCAGCUGUGCAUGGAACUCAACAUGACAAGUCAUCCACUCCACAAGGUACAGAUGGCAUCGAGGCUGAGACGACCCAAGGUACUGGUACAGAACCUAGACAACCUAAAAGGAGGAAACUUACAUCUGAAGUAUGGAAUGAGUUUCAUAAAGAAUUUAUUGGUGGGAGAUGGCAAGCUCAAUGCAUGUAUUGUAAAAAAUGGCUUAGUGCAGCAAGCACAGGUGGCACCACACAUUUGAACAACCAUUUGAAAACUUGUUGUGCCAAGAGUGCUUUUAGCAACUUAGCAUGCCUUUUAAUCUUAUAG